CGCGCCCGUCCGAUUGGCGUCCCCCCUCCCCCCGGGUUCCCGAGAUUCGGCGGCGCUGCUGGGCUAGGGGAGGCGUCUAGCGCGGGGCUGCAGAGGAAGGCGCCGACGAUCGAGCGGCAGCUGGCUUGUAGUCUGGAGAAGCCCGGGGACGAUGACGCGGGGGAGGAACCGCCGCCACAGAUAGGGCGCUUGCGGGUGCGGAUGCGGGUGUGUGACGCGGGCGCCGGCGACGCGAGCGGGGAGAGGAAGGAGGGGUCCUACUUCGUCCUGGAGGUGGCGGCGGGGGUCGCUCGUGGCCUCUCCAUACUAAGAAGGUGAAGAUCUCCAGGGAUCUUCUUGACGCCACCGGGUGAGACCGCUGAUUCCUUGUCCAAUUUGUUUGUUGUGUACUACAUACUUACGCCAGGUUUUAGCAUUUUGUUCUUCUGAAUGCAAAUGGGGGUGUACUCUAAGAUUGGUGCACUUCUGCACCAACACUCUUUUAUUGAGGAGCAUUAAUCAAAACUUAGUUGUUUCAGUCCAUGUCAUUUCUGUUACUGUUGCCCCCUCGUACGGUGGUCCAUGGCACUUCUGCACCAACACUCUUUGUGGUUGUUGUGGUCUGAUUUUUUAGAUGGGAAGUGGAUUGCAUGGUGUUUGUUUUGCUCACUAGAAUAACAUUAUUUAACAACUAAUUGUGGAUGAAGGUUACUGGUAAGUGGCACUGGUGCAAUGGCUAAAAAGAUGCUCUGUUUCUUCUUGUGAGCAUGGAUUAUGAAAUUAUUAACACACAGAUACUGCCCAACAUAAAUUGGCAUGCUUUCAGGACUCGUGCCUUUCGUCUGCCACUAUUUCUGUGGAUCAUUGUCUGUGAUUAGUGCCAUGCCAUUCUUGCUUUAUCUCAAACUGAUUGCCGAUGAGAUUAUUGGUUUUGUCAUUAAAGGUGGGACAUAUUAAAGCCUGUGACGCCUGUGUUUUCUCGUGCGAAAUCAGAACCCUAUCCUCCCUGAAGUUGAAGAGGGAGCUCUGCCAGAACUUGUCUCACUCCAGGGGCUAUGUAAACACCUAACUGGUUUUUCAGGCAUCAAAAUUAAACGCCUCAGAAAGCUCCAGGAAAUCGAGGAUCCAUUUACUGAGGUAUGUGUAAGCUACUGAAGCUCAUACCAUGUUGCAGAUUCACUACGUCAGCUGAGAAUUUCAGAAGCCGGCGCCGCACCACAGCCAUAGAGCACUGUCAUUUUGACGAUUGGAGGCGGAUUAUGCUAUAUGCAGGAGCUUCGAGGUUGGUUUGUGUUCUAAUUGACUGAACUGAUGGAUGGCAUAUCCAUAUUUUCAUUUUUCAAAUUUCAGCCGAUGAUUUCAGGAUGAGAGUACGAAACAAGGACUCACAUCUUUGAAGAAGUAAACCAUGAUAUGGCUGAAUAAAUUGCAAUGGUAUAUCCUGUCCUUUUAUUUCCUAAUUAUAGUUCGAUGGUGCCCAGCCAUAGUAAAAGACAUGAGUCUAGGCUUCUUGGUUCUGGCUCACCAAUGCAGAUCACUUUAUCAUAGGGAAGGAGCCAAGACCCUCAAUUCUUUUUCAUAUUACCGCUAAGUCCAUUUAUUCUGUUAUAUAUUGACAUUGUGCACUUAUUACUCGCUUACUCAGAGUCCUGGCAUGAUCAUGGUUCACCUGCUUUCUUAAGAAGUCUUGAAAAAAAUUUUCUCCAAUCUCACUUUGCAUACUCUAAACUUUGAUUAACUUAUUGUGUCUGUACUGACAACUAACUCUGCAAGAGUUUUGCCGUACCUCUGAAUAUACUGAUAUUUGAAAUGGGUUUCCACCCUAGCAAGAAAAAUGUUUAAGCUGCAAAUCUCCAUAUAUUUUCAUGCAAUGUAUCUGACUGUGGCAUCAUUGUGUCGUUUUCAAGUUGAGCUUAUCAUCGAAUACAAUGUUUGGCAUAUUUUCCAUACAUGUUUUUUCCUGUUACUUGUUUACGAAGCUGGAACUAAACAUUUUCUUCUUUGGCUGAAUGCACAUAUGGCCAAUAGCAUGUGGUUCAUGUCGUUUUUUCAUGUGUUUUACUAAAAAAAAGACUAUAAAGAGUGUAUGUUUUCUCUUCUUUCGGGUUAUCUCUUGUGCCAUCUAAAUCAUUGCAAGCCAAUAGAUUUUCUCUUGUGUCAUCUAAAUCAUUGCAAGCCAAUAUAUUUUCUAGGGGUCAUUCAGCUGAUGGAGGUGAUGCCAAUUCAUCAAGAUGUAUGGAGUUGCAAUGACAAAAUUCCACAAUUUGAGAUACUAUAUUUGAGGAAAAUAGAUUAUUCAUCCACCAAGAGUUAGCAAUUGUAUACUGAUGGUGCUCUAACUAAUGAUGUAAUAAACAAUAUAUUAUGAGUCAGUUCCAUGGAAGUUAGGAAGGCCUGAUGGAGCAAUCUUUUAUUUGAUGAAAAAUUAAAUGUAUAUGGAGUUUGCUAUAUUCUUAACUGAGCUAUACAUAUUCCUGCAUAGAGUGUAAGUGUUUGGCUCUUUCUCUGGGAGCCUUA